rnacentral:rRNA from 1 species
UACGGGGGGGGGCAAGCGUUGUUCGGAAUUACUGGGCGUAAAGGGCGCGUAGGCUGUGCUGUAAGUCAGGCGUGAAAGCCCCGGGCUCAACCUGGGAAUUGCGCUUGAUACUGCGGCGCUGGAAGGUGGGAGAGGAUGGCGGAAUUCCCAGUGUAGAGGUGAAAUUCGUAGAUAUUGGGAAGAACACCGGUGGCGAAGGCGGCCAUCUGGCCCAUUUUUGACGCUGAGGCGCGAAAGCGUGGGGAGCAAACAGG